AGUAAGGUCAGCUAACCCCAAGCUAUUGGGCCCAUACCCCGAAAAUGAUGGUUUAACCCCUUCCCUUACUA
rnacentral:tRNA from 2 species